rnacentral:snoRNA from 1 species
AUAGUGACCAGAGUUAUAUUCUGACCCAGAACUUACCCUGGUGUGCUAGAGUUCUUGACUCACUGGUGGGGAGUAGUCGGUGCCCAUGUUAGUGCCCAGAUCAGAAACAUUC